rnacentral:lncRNA from 1 species
UCUACCGUUUUGACGCGAUAUGCAUUCUACAAAACUUUUUUCAACGAUCCAACCAUCAAACUUGUUUGUACACACUCUGAGAUUGCAUAUGUAAAAAAUUGCAAAAAAAAAAAAUUCAAAGAUUAGGUAACAGAACAAAAAUUUUCGACGGUUAUAAACGAAAAAUCACAAUUUAACGGUUAUUUUAGCUCCGAUUUUAAUGAUUUUUUUACAGCUACACUCCUCGACCCUAUAAGAAUGCAAUGAAUAAAUUUGAUCUUCAAUUUAAAAUAUUUACACUAGUGGAUACCACAAACUCUUAUUUUAUUCUUAAUGGAAGUAUAACAUUAACUCUUUAAGUGUUUGUUAAAUCUAUCAAUUUGAUAGGAUAUGCAUUAUAUGAAACUUUUUUCAAUGAUCUAACUGUCAAACUUGUUUGUACACACUCUGAGAUCGCUGUAAAAAAAUCACAAAAAACAAACAUUCAGAGAUUAGGUAACAGAACAAAAGUUUUCGACGGUUAUAAACGAAAAAUCACAAUUUAACGGUUAUUUUAGCUUCGAUUUUGAUGAUUUUUUACAGCUACACUCCUCAACCCUAUAAGAAUUCUUUGAACGAAUUUGAUCUUCAAUUUAAAAUAUUUACACUAGUGGAUACCACAAAAUAUUAUUUUAUACUUAAUGAAAGUAUAACAUUAACUCUGAGUGUUUGUUUAAUCUACCAUUUGAUGUGAUAUGCAUUCUACGAAACGUUUUU